AUGGAUACUGAACAGCCGGAGGAAACCUUCCCCAACACUAAAACCAACGGUGAAUUUGGUAAGUGUCCUGCAGAAAAUAUGGAAGAGGAGCAAACAUUUAAAAGAUCUACAAACAGUGAUGAGAUGGUUGAAUUACAAAUUCUGCUUCAGAGCAAGAAUGCUGGGGCAGUGAUUGGGAAAGGAGACAAGAAUACUAAGGGUCUCCGGAGAGACCAUAUUGAGAAUCAUUGCUGAUAUUGGUACAAUUGGAGACAUUCUGAAGAAAACCAUCGCUACCUUGGAAGAGGGCCUGCAGUUGCCAUCAACCACUGCAACCAGCCAGCUCCUGCUUGAAUCUGAUGAUAUGGAAUGCUUAAAUUAUCAGCACUAUAAAGGAAGUGAUUUUGACUUCGAGUUGAGACUGUUGAUUCAUCAGAGUCUGGCAGGAGGAAUUAUUGGGGUCAAAAAUGCUAAAAUCAAAGACUUUGAGAGAACACUCAGACAACAAUCAAGCUUUUCCAAGAAUGCUGCCCUCAUUCCACUGACAGAGUUGUUCUUAUUGGGGGAAAGCCUGAUAGGGUGGUAGAGUACAUAAAGAUUAUCCUUGAUAUUAUAUCUGAGUCUCCCAUCAAAGGGCAUGCACACCCUUAUGAUCCUAGUUUUUAUGAUGAAACAUAUGAUUAUGGUAGUUUUAUGAUAUUUGAUGACCACCGCAGACAUCUAGUGGGAUUUCCCAUGUGGGGAAGAGGUGGUUUCGACAGAAUUCCACCUGGUAGGGGUGGGUAUCCCAUGCCUCCCUCUAGAAGAGAUUAUGUUGAUAUGAGCCCUCAUCGAGGACCACGACUCCUCCUUCUGGUCGAGGUGGCCAAGGUGGGAGCAGAGCUUGAAAUCUUUCUCUUCCUUUACCGCCACCAUCUAGAGGAGAUCUAAUGGCCUAUGACAAAAGAGAAAAACCUAGAGACCAUUAUGGCAUGGUUGGUUUCAGUGCUGAUGAAACUUGGGAGUCUGCAAUAGAUACAUGGAGCCCAUCAGAAUGGCAGAUGGCUUAUGAACCACAGGGUGGCUCUGGAUAUGAUUAUUCCUAUGCAGGGGGUCGUGGCUCAUAUGGUGAUCUUGGUAGACCUAUUAUUGCAACACAAGUAAGUAUUCCCAAAGAUUUGGCUGGAUCUAUUAUUGGCAAAGAUGGUCAGCAGAUUAAGCAAAUCUGUCAUGAAUCCAGAGCCUCAAUCAGAAUUGAAGAGCCUUUAGAAGGAUCUGAAGAUCAGAUCAUUACCUUUACAGGAACACAGGACCAGAUACAGAAUGUACCGUAUUUGCUGCAGAACAGUGUGAAGCAGUACUCUGGAAAGUUUUUCUAA